UGUCUGCGCCUAACAUCUCCAUUUUUCUCAAAGAGCCUUUCCCAUCGUAAAAAUUCUUCUCGUUGCAAGAAAGAGCUUUGUAGGUUAUAAUAAAAUCCUUUGAAUGCUUAUAAAACUCCACAUAAAAUUUGACCGACAAAACAGCGGGCUAGUCCCUUAACCUUUCCAUUUACUGCUUUCUCUACCUACUCGAGUUGCUGGUUUUGCUCCCUUCCUUGUUGACAGAGGAGGAUGAAGCUGAAGAGCCCGGGUUGGUGUUUUCUUCCUCGUCUUCCGGGUCUACGCCUUGGUCGCCGCGGGAUGACAGCGCGGUGGGCUGGGAGUCGGUCUCCAGCUUGCUCUCGGUCUUCUGCAAACAGAUAGAUGUUUUGGAUCCGAUGUGCAGAGGGGGAAAAAUUUGGGAAGGCGAGAUGACGCGCUAUCCGUCUUAGUCGCUCUCUCCAGGACACGUGAUCCAAAGUAGAUAUUGUCAUAUAUCAGUUUGGAGCACUUAGAAGCGUAGGAGUGGUUCACUUAGAAGCCCAGGGGACUGGAUAAAGAUUCUUCAUCAUGAUCCAGAAAGCCAUGCUAUAAAGGCUUACAGCAUUUAGAGAAUAUUGACAGUUGAUAGAGGCUGCUGGUAUAUCCAGUAAAGUCCCCCUAAACAAAGGAUGCGUGCUUAAAACUCUUCAGUCUUUCAGAUGAUCUGGAGCACACAUCACACAGGCUCAUCAAACAGAUUUUGCGCCUGAAUUGACAACUUUUUCAUUUGUUUUUAUUUUAUUUUUUAAAAAAGGUCCUGUAAUUGAUCUGCAAAGAAAUAAAUAAAAAUGUUUAGUUUCCACCUGA